GGACUGAGGACGAUGUGUAUGACAGAAGAUAUCCGCCAAUCGUCUCAGCCUGUAGCCUUAUUACAACUCUAAACACUUGUCACCAUGCGUCAGCUGAUGAUCCUGGCAGCAGCUCUACUCAUCCUGUGUGUAGAGAUGAGUUCUUGUGAUGCAGAGCCUGAUGCAAUACAAGAAGAACAAGUUCUACACAAGCCUCACAAGAGAGCCUCUUAUACCACUACCACUCGUUUCGGCGUUGCUUUGAUCGGUUUGAUUGGUAGACGUCUUGCACCCGAUGAGCCACACCCCGUCAUGUAAGCUGCUCAACGAUGGACGACCCACAUCACUGCUUCUGCCUAACCACUCACCGCUACAAAGACAAGCUACAAUCAUCACUUACUACAAACUUGUCUACUCCUUCUUUUGCUCCUACAAACAUGCGGCCUGGCAGAUGACUUGAAGAGACUUGUACUAAAGCUUUGUCUCCUGUAAAGACAAACUAUAACCAGAGCUGACACAACUCUCACCUAGUGCUUGUAGUUUAGUAUCAGCCUGUCUUCUGAUGAUAAACCUUCCUGUAGUUCAAGUACUGGCUGCACUGUCAGUCCACAGGUAACAGCAGACGAGGGACAAACUUUGUGUUUGGCUGCUGUGAGGCUGAUAACAAGAGACACAUGUACUGGCAUUGACACUCACCAUAAUAAUGGAAAUAAUAUUCGUAAAAACAGACAAAAUUCAUGCAAUAAAAAUAUUCUGAGGGAGGGAGGGUGAAACUGGUUUGCAAGAUAAGUAUAGUAAAUAUAGUUGUCCCCGCCCCCCCCCCUUAUCUAUUGAUAGUUUGCAAAAAUAAUUCUAGCUGAAAUCAUACUGUAGUUUUGUCUACUUUGAAAAUAAAGUCUUAGAUGCAC
rnacentral:lncRNA from 1 species